rnacentral:rRNA from 1 species
AUUGAACGCUGGCGGCAGGCUUAACACAUGCAAGUUGAGCGGGGAAAGGUAGCUUGCUACCUGACCUAGCGGCGGACGGGUGAGUAAUGCUUAGGAAUCUGCCUAUUAGUGGGGGACGACAUUCCGAAAGGAAUGCUAAUACCGCAUACGCCCUACGGGGGAAAGCAGGGGAUCUUCGGACCUUGCGCUAAUAGAUGAGCCUAAGUCAGAUUAGCUAGUUGGUGGGGUAAAGGCCUACCAAGGCGACGAUCUGUAGCGGGUCUGAGAGGAUGAUCCGCCACACUGGGACUGAGACUCGGCCCAGACUCCUACGGGAGGCAGCAGUGGGGAAUAUUGGACAAUGGGCGAAAGCCUGAUCCAGCCAUGCCGCGUGUGUGAAGAAGGCCUUUUGGUUGUAAAGCACUUUAAGCGAGGAGGAGGCUACUUGGAUUAAUACUCUAGGAUAGUGGACGUUACUCGCAGAAUAAGCACCGGCUAACUCUGUGCCAGCCGCCGCCGUAAGAC